UCACGGAACCACAGUGGAAGCCCCAAACUGCAAUAACUGUAUUGAUCUGCUACAACUCAGGUGGUUUCCAAGACUUCUUAGGAGGGAAAGUACAGAGUGAUGAAUCUCACUUUAGCCUGAGAUAUGCCUCCUUCCUGUUCCCAGUAACAUUUCCUGCUAACUCUAUAUUUACUCUCAAAGUACAAAUACUGCAAAAUGGUGAGGCAGCAAAGAUUCAUUGAAAGACCUCCUGUGCCCCACAAAAUGACACUCUCUUCAUUUUGUAACCUCAUAUACCUACUACUCUAAAACUAUCAGAGUUCCAAAAGAAGGAAACUCAGAUGCUUUCAAAAAGGCAACAAUCUCUAAACCAAGAGUCCUGACCCCUGAUUUCAUCAGUGUUCUUGCAUUUUUGCAAACUUCUCAUUUUCAGGACAGAACGAUUAAGUGAGCAGGGCUGUGAAGAGAAGCCUUUCUGUAGAGGUUUUUCUUCCCUUUUCUUAUUUUGGCUGUGCUGGGUCUUCGUUGCAGGACGUGUGGAAUCGAACCCUAGCCCUUGCACUGGAAAGCAGAUUCUCAAACCCUGGACCACUAGGGAAAUCCCUGGCAAUAGAUUUCAGGAUGGGAGAGUGAAGAUGGGGUAAAUUCUUAUGACGGCAUCACAGAGCUUCAGGAGAGAUACAAUGAGAGUCUGAAAGAAAUGAGUGGUGGUGGGAAUCCACACAUGGAUUGAUUUCCCACGUGUGCCAGGCUUUGUGUUAGGAGUUUGAGUCUCCAUUGCCUUAAAGCAUCCAAGGGUCCCUAAACACCCAGCACACACGUAAAUAACCAUGAUGUUUAUUAACCGCUAAGACUGUAGUAAGAAUAACAUGUCUUCAAAUCAGAAAUUGAGAGAAAACUGAGUCUGGAUUGUCUGAAAGACUUCACAAAGAUGACACGUUUAUGGCUGGAAUCUCACCCAUUCUAGAAGGAGGAAACAGCUUUCCUGGCAGUAUGAGAUAAGAAUAUCUUUGGCAGGCUCAAUACCUGUUGAGUCAUUCAUCCAUUUACUCAUUCAGUCUUUCUUUUGCUCAUUAUUCAUUUAUUCUUCAGGCCUCUGCUGUGUGCCAGGCCCAGUGGGGACAGAAGAGGAAGCGGUGGAUGUCAGGCUGUGACGUUUUGGUGGCAUCCUGACAGUCGCUAGUGAUCAAGCAAAUAUGAUGAUCACAACUUCUACUAAGUAAAAGAGUUCUGACAUAAAAUGAAGUUCAACAGUGGAGGAUGAGGGGAGUUGAUGGCUGACAGCACCUCUGAAGACACCGCUGCAGCCAAGGAGCAGGAUGAGAAUCCUUGGGUGGGAUGCGAAGGGCGAGCAGAGGAGGACCAGGGUCACAGUGUGAGCAGAGAGGACCAGGUCACAGUGUGUGUGAGCAGAGAGGACCAGUCACAGUGUGUGUGAGCAGAGAGGACCAGGAUCACACAGUGUGUGUGAGCAGAGAGGACCAGGUUACUGUGUUUGAGCAGAGAGGACCAGUCACAGUGUGUGUGAGCAGAGAGGACCAGGAUCACACAGUGUGUGUGAGCAGAGAGGACCAGGGUCACACCAUGUGGGCAGGGGAGGACCAGGGUCACACCGUGCAGGCAGAAUGAACCGCACUCAGAGACCAGCAGAUGCGGUGUGCCAGCCUGUUUCCUGGGGCAGAGUCACAAAAAGACAGAGAUCGUCUGUUUUGAAAGGAAAAGGCUGAGACUCAGAAAGAAGAGCAAGGACGACGAGCCCCACCUUCGAUUUCCACUCUACUCUUCUUGGACAGGUCUUCACAGCAAGUUCACAAGGGGACAUUCUUCCUUCUGCUUGGUUCAUCUGAUCAAGUUCUCCCAUAAUAUGCAACUGCACAUUUGCCUAAAAAGCUUUUGCAAAUCUGUCUAACUUGGGACAGCUAUUCUGGGUUAAUCUUGAAAACAUGCUCUGGCAGCAAACUGAUAGAACAUAGCAAAUACUUCUUACAAGAGUAAAUUAUAUAAAGCUGAUGGUUUUCCAAAUAUCCCCACUCUGACCCUCAGUUUAUCUGUUUUAUAUUUACUCACUCAUUCACUCACUUUUCACAGACUCAUUCAACAAUUAUAGGUGAAUCUUAACCCCAAAGUGGGUUACUUUCCUUCAAUUUAUAACACCAUUGUUUGGAAUUGGAAUGCAUCGUUUAAAAUACGGGCAAUGUUACCCAUGCAGACUUGGUCUUGUGUAUUCCAUAAAUCAAUAUCAUAAUGAGAUAAUGAAAAAAUUAUGUCAAUACCCAUAACAAAGCAUAAACUAAAAUGAAUUAUGUUUACUGAUGAAAAAAAGAAGUUUUCUCUUUCUCUUUAAUCUUUUCUUAAACACUCUCUCCUCCUC